rnacentral:rRNA from 1 species
UACGUAAGGGGCAAGCGUUGUCCGGAAUUAUUGGGCGUAAAGAGCUCGUAGGCGGUCAGUCGCGUCUGCUGUGAAAACUCGGGGCUUAACUCCGGGCCUGCAGUGGGUACGGGCUGACUAGAGUGCGGUAGGGGAGACUGGAAUUCCUGGUGUAGCGGUGAAAUGCGCAGAUAUCAGGAGGAACACCGGUGGCGAAGGCGGGUCUCUGGGCCGUAACUGACGCUGAGGAGCGAAAGCGUGGGGAGCGAACAGG